rnacentral:lncRNA from 1 species
GGAUGUGCUAUUAAGGCACAGAUGCUGGGCAGGGGGCCAGGUUCACCCAUCCACCAGGUGGAAUGGUCUGAGGGGCAUCAUUCACAUCCAUACCUCAAACAAGGGACAGUGGUCAUCACUGCUCAGGGUUGGACAAUGCACGGCAGCAGAUGAAGUCCACCUCUUUCUGAUGCAUGUACUGGAGAGUGUGGCAGGUUCUUCAUACUUGAAAAAUGACCUCCUAAGAAGAUCCCCUUAACACUUGGGUCUAAAUUUCUUAGUAACAACAGCAAAUGCUAUGGUUUAUUUUGAAAUAUGCGAUAUAAAAUUAAGACAACUGUUUAAAAGCCUUUCAAAAUGCUAAGUGAUAAUUAACGUUUAUGUACUAAAUUCUUAGCGUGAACAACAGAAGGAGUGGACUCAGUGUUUUCUUUUGGAGUAAUUUCCUAAGAGACAAAAUUUUGGAUAGCACAACACAAACAACAUCCUUUACUCAAGAUUUGAUUUUGUUUUGUUUUGUUUUGUUUUUUGGGGCUGCACGCACGGCAUAUAGAAGUUGCCAGGCUAGGGGUCGAAUUAGAGCUGCAGCCACCGACCUACACCACAGCUCACGGCAAAGCAGGAUCCUUUAACCCACUGAGUGAGGCCGGGGAUCGAACCUGCGCCCUCGUGGAUACUAGUUCUCUUCAUUAACCAUAGAGCCACGAUGGGAACGCCAAGAUUUGAUUUUUAACCCACGUUAUGAAAAGGGUCAUUUCAAGGCUAGAUGGAUCUUCUCAAAGGACACUCUUAAGAACUUUGCCACACUCGGGCAGGUCUUAUUCAAAGCAGGCGAUCCGGUUAUUUAUCCAUUUUUCCUCUCCUUUGAUUUGUAAGUGGACCGACUCUACCAGAUUCCGGCUUGUCAAAGUCUUUGGAUAGAAACCGAGUCCUUUCCAACAUCACUUUUAUCAGUUCCAUGGAAUCCUACAUUUUUGGCCAUACCUCCAAUUUCGCGUUGAUGUAGUACUGCCUUGCAUCUGCAACAUCCAACACCGAGGGCAAGCUGGACUGACAGGUGUGAACAGACAGGGACAGGAGCUGGUAUGAACCCGGGGAGAAUGGUUAAGCAGGAGUCCAUCUGUGAAGACGUUUGUGUGAGGGUAACUUUGGUUUCCUUGUACAAAUGUACUCUGGGGUUUCCUGCUCAGACAGCGGGUGGGGGGUGGGGGGUCAUCUGCUGGGGCUGCUUGGACCUGGCGCCAGAGGGGGUGGUUUAUAGGACAGAAAUUUUUUUCUUGCAAUUCUAGAGGCUGGAAGUCCAAGAACCAGGGGUCUGCAGGCUUGUUUCCCCUGAGGCCUCUCUCCUGGGCUUGUCGACAGCCGUCUUCUCCCUGUGCCUUUGUCACGUGGUUCUCCCCCUGUGUGUGGCUGAGUCUCAUCUCUUCUUAUGAGGACACCAGUCAGACUGGAGCAGGGCCCACCCUAAUGACUUCGUCUCCACUUAAUCACCUCUUUACGUACAAUCCGCAAACACAGUCACAUCCUAAGGCGCGGGAUAGUGCUGUGCUGGACCAGGCGGCCACCAUCCUUCAGCCCUGCUGCACCCCCGCCCCCAACCGCUGCCUGUUGCUUUGCCAAUCGCCUCCUGGGGGCAUCUCACCCCUGCUUUCAAGCUACCACUGCAAAGGCUAUGGUUAUAACCGAGAACACAAAGCCCACGAAGCCUAAAAUAUUCCUAUCUGGCCCUUUAUGGAAAAAGUCCAUGGAUCCCUGAUGUAGAAGAAAUUGUAUUCAUCCCCGAAUCAUAUCUCAGUGAAACACACUCCUGGGCUCCAGGACACACAAACGUGAACUCCGAUACAUUCAUGAUUUGUGUCUUUUUGCUUUUUAGGGCCACACCCAUGGCAUAUGGAAGUUCCCAGGUUAAGGGUCUCAUCGGAGCUAGAGCCACAGCACGCAGCCUCAGCCUUGCAGGAUCCAAGCCCUGUCUGCAACCUACAUCAUGGCUCACGGCGACGCCAGAUCUUUAACCCACUGAGCAAGGCCAGGGAUCGAACCCACGUCCUAGUUUGAUACUAGUCAGGUUUGUUGCCGCUAAGCCCCAAUGGGAACUCCCAUUAGUGAUUUAAAUGGCAAUGUUAAGUGGUGAGAGUAAGACAAGAAAAUCUUCGAGGGUCACUGUAUCACCUUACGUAGGAGAGGCCUUCCUAAGCAAAGCAGGAAACGGACUAUAGAGGCUCGUGUACGCUUUACAGCCCCUUCACAACCAAAACUUGAAGGAUUGACCCAACAAAAGGUUCUGUAAACAACAUAAAAGACAAAUGAGAGCCUAAGAGAGAAGCGAUAAUCUAUGGCGAGCACAUUUGUGUACUCCGAAUACAGUGCGUUAUCACACAGCCAGAAAAACUCCAACUAACUCGAAAUAAAAAUGAACAAAGGCCAGAAACAGGAGAACUACACAUAGCCAGACAUAUACAAAAAUAUAGGAAAACAGACUCAAAAUGCAAAAGGGCCAAUUCUGACACGAUCACCUUUUUUCAAGAAAAACCCGAAAAGCAAAAAACUAACAAAUUGGCUAAAACUUCGAGGACCAAUCAGAUUGAAUCUUUUUUUCUUUCCCUUUUUUUUUUUUUUUUUGGUUUUUUUUAUCUUUUUAGGGCUGCACCCGCAACAUAUGGAGGUUCCCAGGCUAGGGUUUGAACUGGAGCUGUGGCUGCCGGCCAACGCCACAGCCACAGCAAUGCAGCAUCUGAACUGCAUCUGUGACCUACACCACAGCUCAAGGCAAUGCCAGAUCCUUAAUCCACUGAGAAAGGCCAGGGGUGGAAUCCGCAGCCUCAUGGAUGCUAGUCGGGUUCAUUAACCAAUGAGCCACGAUGGGAACUCCCUGGAUCAGACUGAGUCUCUGUCAUGGGACUGGGAAACGACCUUCCAGAUCCUCUGUUGCUGGAAGUACAAGUGAUCCGGCCUCUUUGGAGAGUGACUUAGAAUCCAUUAAAAUGAAAUUCUCAAAACUCCUUUAAUGCCGCAAUUUCACCACUAGGAAUCCAGGCUGGAGGAAGACUUCUGCUUGAGAAUGUUCAUGUGACACCACCGCAAGGAUUCUGUGCUGUGCACACACAUGCUCACACGCACAGAAGGCCCCGGAAUGUCCAUCAACAGGCCUGUGGGUUAAAGACCUUCUGGUCCCCAAAGGAAACUGGAAACGUACAGAACCGUUCAAUGGCUGAGGCCACACUCACUGGAAGACUCAAGAUAAGUGAGAACAGCAAACUUUAGGCCAAGGGUAUGACAUGAUUCCUUUCCAUUGUGGGGGGGAACCAUACGCGGCAUGUUCAUAGAUUUGCUGCUUACACUCACGCUCUCUGGGCUCCGCACCCCGUGCCAUGGGAGGCACAGGUGGUUUCACAGGCAGGGCAGCCUGCCCGCCGCCCACAUGGCCAGCUGCACCCACAGUUCUCCUGGUCCCUCCCGCACCUGCUGCUGAUGGGAAGGGGUGGGAGGGGUGCGGGGAGCAGAGCCCCAGUGAGUAAGCACACGAAGCCCUGAAGGAACACCCACUGUGUCUCUACCUCAGAGUCAAGUGGCAGAAUCCAAGCCUCACCGCAUUGCCAGGGUGAAGGGGACUUAGAAACGGCUCCCUGACCUGGGGAUCCACUUGCUGGCAGGAGGCCUCCAGGGUGCCAGGAAUCCGAAGGGCCACCCCGGGAACCCUCUCUCCUACGUCUCUUUUCUUGCUCAGUGGUUUGGAUGCAUCUCCUCUGCCCCCUCCUCUCUUCCCGGCUGGGACUGUGGGUUGUUGAUUUUCUGCUGUCGGUUCUCACCGGGCGGGGGCGGGAGGGGGGGGCUUAAAAUUCUGAAGGUGGAGAAAAGAACGGAAGGAAAGGCCACGUGUGAUGAUCAGGACUGAGGAAGAAGCCCCUGGGUGGCUUGGGGGUGGGUUCCUCCGAGGUCAGCAGUGGGGACAAGGUCCCUCUGUGAAGCCCACAAGCUUCUCGCCAUCCCUUCCCGGCCUGAGCCACAUCUUAAAACCACCUGCUGUCCCUCUGCCUUGGGAAGCCCGAACUCUGGGAAGGGAGGCAGGUGGGACUGAGGAAAAGCCCAACCCUGCAGCCUAGCGGAUGUGCGGAAGGGUACAGGUGUAGAGGUACCUGGAGCGUGAUGGGCUGGGGGCAUCGCUCUCAUCUCUCGUCACCCAAGCUCUUGAAAGCUCAUUUUCUAAACAAUGCUUCUCAUUUGGCCCUGUUAACGCCUCUUUUCAAUUGACAGGUGUGCAUGAAUGUUUUAAAAAUCUCUACAGAUAUUACGGAAAGGACCGAAACAAAGAGAAUCCCACAGGGCACUGUAUCCGACCUCUUGGGACAGAAUAUGAUGAAAGAGAGUAUGAGAAAAAGAAUGUGUGUAUAUAUGACUGGGUCACUUUUCUGUACAGCAGAAAUUGGCACAACAUAGUCAAUCAACUAUACUUAAAAAAAAAAAAAA